ACCUCAUGAUUGGGAUAUUAUAUGAGUUUUCCGUUGAACCUAUCCCAUACUUUGUAUAAGGGUUCUCCAUUUAAUUGCCUAAAGUUUGUGAUCUCAUUAUGCAAUU
rfam:Capsicum annuum cultivar Zunla-1 chromosome 1, whole genome shotgun sequence